rnacentral:lncRNA from 1 species
CCAUCUGCCUGUUCUAAUAACCUAUUUUGUAUAUAUUAUAGUUGGUUUUCUAUCUCGUCAUAAUUGGUUGCUUUGACAUAUCAAUCCUUCCUUCUUCAUGUUUCCAAUCCAAGUUUCAACAUAUCUUGUGUCCUCUCUAUGACUAUCACCUUCUAAUAACCAAGCUUGAGCAUGAACCUAGGGACACCCUCAAUAAGCCUAUUCGGACCAUGAUGAAUGGACCUACCACUGGGAUAUAUGUACUCAGGCUAUCAAAUAUGUUUCUCAGCUCUUCUUUGUCAG